ensembl:lincRNA 1810012K16Rik uncharacterized LOC110336197
AGGCUGGCAACCUCCGGGAGGACUCACCUUGAGGUCUCCCGGCGUUAUCCAGCCCCAGGAGGCUGUGGCUUAUGGAAAGUACUAGAAUAGUAGUGGUGGGCUAUAAAUUCCCUUAUGGGCAGCUUUUAAAUCAUCUAUUUAUUUGUCUACAGACAGGGUCUCGCAUAGCCCAGGCUUAACUUGCAAUGUGACUGAGGAUAGUCAUGAACGUCCUGAUUUCCCCCUUCCAAGAGAAGGAAUUUCAGGAAAUCCAUUCCCAGGAUCAUUAGGGAAAAGACAACAAUAUAAACUGCUACUGCAGGUUUUGUAGUUUCUAGAGAUAUAUAUCCUGAGGCUUUACUUAGAAGCUCAAAGUGGCGCUGGAGUGAGGGCGCAGAGGCAGUCCUGGAUUGAAAAAAAAGGAAAAAAAAAAAAAAAAAAAAAAAGCAUCGGGCCAGAGAUCAACCAAGAAAGUGAGUCGGUAAUCUGUAUUCCUAAUGGCUCCUGCCUUGACUUCCUGCCUUCCGUCAAUCUGGAAGAGAAUGCCAAAUAAACCUUUUCCUCCCUCAAGUUGCA